rnacentral:rRNA from 1 species
ACGCUGGCGGCAGGCCUAACACAUGCAAGUCGAGCGGCAGCGGGGGGAAGCUUGCUUCCCCGCCGGCGAGCGGCGGACGGGUGAGUAAUGUCUGGGGAUCUGCCUGAUGGAGGGGGAUAACUACUGGAAACGGUAGCUAAUACCGCAUGACGUCGCAAGACCAAAGUGGGGGACCUUCGGGCCUCACGCCAUUGGAUGAACCCAGAUGGGAUUAGCUGGUAGGUGAGGUAAUGGCUCACCUAGGCGACGAUCUCUAGCUGGUCUGAGAGGAUGACCAGCCACACUGGAACUGAGACACGGUCCAGACUCCUACGGGAGGCAGCAGUGGGGAAUAUUGCACAAUGGGGGAAACCCUGAUGCAGCCAUGCCGCGUGUAUGAAGAAGGCCUUCGGGUUGUAAAGUACUUUCAGCGGGGAGGAAGGGGAGCACUUUAACAGAGUGUUUCAUUGACGUUACCCGCAGAAGAAGCACCGGCUAACUCCGUGCCAGCAGCCGCGGUAAUACGGAGGGUGCAAGCGUUAAUCGGAAUGACUGGGCGUAAAGCGCACGCAGGCGGUCUGUUAGUUGGAUGUGAAUCCCC